CAACCUGAGCUCAGGCGUGACUACCCGCCGAACUUAAGCAUAUCAUUUAGCGGAGGAAAAGAAACUAACAAGGAUUCCCUUAGUAACGGCGAGUGAACGGGGAGAAGCCCAGCGCUGAAUCUUUCGGUGUUACACCGUUAAGAAAUGUAGCGUAUAGGUGUGGUUUUCAGUUUGUGCUGCAUGUCCAAAGUCCCUUUGAUAGGGGCCACAUUCCUGAGAGGGUGCGAGACCUGUGCGGGCAGUGGAGCAAGCUGUACGAUCAUACCUUGGAGUCGGGUUGCUUGAAAGUGCAGCCUAAAGUGGGUGAUAAACUUCAUCUAAGGCUAAAUAUAGACGCGAAUUCGAUAGCAAACAAGUACUGUGAAGGAAAGUUGCAAAGAACUUUGAAGAGAGAGGGGAUGUUGCUUAAUUGUGACUGCGAGAGAUGUAUGUUGCCUAUGGCUGCGCUGACAGCGCUGCCGUGCGUUCCGAACCGUUUAGCGUUGCCCACCGUUUCGGCGGUGGUGUUUUGCUGGCGGAUAGGUUUGUCGUGGCUAGCGUUUUUGCCAUACUUCAUUGUAGGGUGUCAGUGUGAAAGUCGACCAGCCUCUCCGACCCGUCUUGAAACACGGACCGAGGAGUGUGACUUGUACGCGAGUCAAAGUGUGGAAAACCACAAGGCGUAAUGAAUGUAAAGGUCGGUUAACCGGCUGACACUUGUACGCGAGUCAAAGGGUGGAAAACCCCAAGGCGUAAUGAAAGUAAAGGUCGGUUAACCGGCUGACAUGGGAUCCGUUUCGUUUACGAAGCGGCGCACCAUGGCCCUGUCUUGUCUGCUUGCAGAUGGGCAGCGGUAGAGCGUACAGGUUGCGACCCGAAAGAUGGUGAACUAUGCCUGAGCAGGACGAAGUCAGAGGAAACUCUGGUGGAAGUCCGUAUCGGUUCUGACGUGCAAAUCGAUCGAUAGACUUGGGUAUAGGGGCGAAAGACUAAUCGAACCAUCUAGUAGCUGG
rnacentral:ncRNA from 1 species